UGUUAUGGAAAUAGUCUUGACGUUUUCAUUCUUUUGACAGGUGACUUUGCUUGCUGAACACAGGGUUGUGAUAUAAUCCCAUGAUCAACACUGUCACAAUAAAAUAUCACAUGUCUAUGAUUUGGAAAACUCUAAUGAUUAAUUUGGAUGCUUUCCUCUACAUAAAUGGAGUUAUCUGCUGGUGGCGCUUGAGAAGGAGCAUGUACUCUCUACCAUGAAUUCUUGGGACAUUGUUUAACAGUUCCAGCAUGGGUGGUGUCCAGGCAUGUAAGAAGCAUUCUUUAUCUUUUCUAAAGCAAGUAUGUCCCAGAGCCUUAUGAUGAUGUGUUUGGAAAGAAUUGGAAAGAGGUAGACAAGCAACUAUUGCUUAUAUUUGUAAUAUAGUUUAUGGAUCUCAUGUUUUGUUUCUUGUGAUUUUCCCCACAGCCUAUGAAAUAAAUACAAUUAUUGUUGAUACUACUUUGCUUGAUAAAGAAACCCAGACUCAGAGACCCCAUCUAAAUUAGUAAUAAAUUAAAGCAAGAAUGUAAAAGCCGCUUUCUCCUUCUGUGCUAUCCCUAGAAACCAUCUUAUAAAGGCUACUUUCUUAGGAACCAUUUUAUGGGACUUUAAACAGGAC
rnacentral:lncRNA from 1 species